rnacentral:rRNA from 1 species
UACGGAGGGUGCAAGCGUUAUCCGGAUUUACUGGGUUUAAAGGGUGCGUAGGUGGGUAGGAAAGUCAGUGGUGAAAUCUUCGGGCUUAACCCGGAAACUGCCAUUGAUACUAUUUAUCUUGAAUACUUUGGAGGUAAGCGGAAUAUGUCAUGUAGCGGUGAAAUGCUUAGAUAUGACAUAGAACACCCAUUGCGAAGGCAGCUUACUACUCAAUCAUUGACGCUGAGGCACGAAAGCGUGGGGGAUCAAACAGGA